GUGGCCUAGUGGUUAGAGUGUCCGCCUCAGAUGCAGGAGGUCGUGGGUUCGAUCCCUUGUCAAGUCA